rnacentral:sRNA from 1 species
UUGACAGGCCAGAAGAAUAAAGUUCUCUAUUCAUAGCACAGGUUCAGUGUGGGUAGCAGCAGCUGAAAGCUUCUUUGCGUUGCCCUGCCAAUGUGCUGCAACCCUGACCUAGUGAGGCUGCUUCUGGGAUAGAGAGAGGAGUCUCGUCUCAUCUCUAAUUCCGUCCUUGUCCUCU